UACAGAGGUCUCAAGCGUUGUUCGGAUUCAUUGGGCGUAAAGGGUGCGUAGGCGGCGCGGUAAGUCGGAUGUGAAAUCUCGGAGCUUAACUUCGAAACUGCAUUCGAUACUGCCGUGCUUGAGGACUGGAGAGGAGACUGGAAUUUACGGUGUAGCGGUGAAAUGCGUAGAUAUCGUAAGGAAGACCAGUGGCGAAGGCGGGUCUCUGGACAGUUCCUGACACUGAGGCACGAAGGCCCAGGGGAGCAAACGGG
rnacentral:rRNA from 1 species